GGGUUGUGAGGUUAAGCGACUAAGCGUACACGGUGGAUGCCCUGGCAGUCAGAGGCGAUGAAGGACGUGCUAAUCUGCGAUAAGCGUCGGUAAGGUGAUAUGAACCGUUAUAACCGGCGAUUUCCGAAUGGGGAAACCCAGUGUGAUUCGUCACACUAUCAUUAACUGAAUCCAUAGGUUAAUGAGGCGAACCGGGGGAACUGAAACAUCUAAGUACCCCGAGGAAAAGAAAUCAACCGAGAUUCCCCCAGUAGCGGCGAGCGAACGGGGAGCAGCCCAGAGCCUGAAUCAGUGUGUGUGUUAGUGGAAGCGUCUGGAAAGGCGUGCGAUACAGGGUGACAGCCCCGUACACAAAAAUGCACAUACUGUGAGCUCGAUGAGUAGGGCGGGACACGUGGUAUCCUGUCUGAAUAUGGGGGGACCAUCCUCCAAGGCUAAAUACUCCUGACUGACCGAUAGUGAACCAGUACCGUGAGGGAAAGGCGAAAAGAACCCCGGCGAGGGGAGUGAAAAAGAACCUGAAACCGUGUACGUACAAGCAGUGGGAGCACGCUUAGGCGUGUGACUGCGUACCUUUUGUAUAAUGGGUCAGCGACUUAUAUUCUGUAGCAAGGUUAACCGAAUAGGGGAGCCGAAGGGAAACCGAGUCUUAACUGGGCGUUAAGUUGCAGGGUAUAGACCCGAAACCCGGUGAUCUAGCCAUGGGCAGGUUGAAGGUUGGGUAACACUAACUGGAGGACCGAACCGACUAAUGUUGAAAAAUUAGCGGAUGACUUGUGGCUGGGGGUGAAAGGCCAAUCAAACCGGGAGAUAGCUGGUUCUCCCCGAAAGCUAUUUAGGUAGCGCCUCGUGAAUUCAUCUCCGGGGGUAGAGCACUGUUUCGGCAAGGGGGUCAUCCCGACUUACCAACCCGAUGCAAACUGCGAAUACCGGAGAAUGUUAUCACGGGAGACACACGGCGGGUGCUAACGUCCGUCGUGAAGAGGGAAACAACCCAGACCGCCAGCUAAGGUCCCAAAGUCAUGGUUAAGUGGGAAACGAUGUGGGAAGGCCCAGACAGCCAGGAUGUUGGCUUAGAAGCAGCCAUCAUUUAAAGAAAGCGUAAUAGCUCACUGGUCGAGUCGGCCUGCGCGGAAGAUGUAACGGGGCUAAACCAUGCACCGAAGCUGCGGCAGCGACGCUUAUGCGUUGUUGGGUAGGGGAGCGUUCUGUAAGCCUGCGAAGGUGUGCUGUGAGGCAUGCUGGAGGUAUCAGAAGUGCGAAUGCUGACAUAAGUAACGAUAAAGCGGGUGAAAAGCCCGCUCGCCGGAAGACCAAGGGUUCCUGUCCAACGUUAAUCGGGGCAGGGUGAGUCGACCCCUAAGGCGAGGCCGAAAGGCGUAGUCGAUGGGAAACAGGUUAAUAUUCCUGUACUUGGUGUUACUGCGAAGGGGGGACGGAGAAGGCUAUGUUGGCCGGGCGACGGUUGUCCCGGUUUAAGCGUGUAGGCUGGUUUUCCAGGCAAAUCCGGAAAAUCAAGGCUGAGGCGUGAUGACGAGGCACUACGGUGCUGAAGCAACAAAUGCCCUGCUUCCAGGAAAAGCCUCUAAGCAUCAGGUAACAUCAAAUCGUACCCCAAACCGACACAGGUGGUCAGGUAGAGAAUACCAAGGCGCUUGAGAGAACUCGGGUGAAGGAACUAGGCAAAAUGGUGCCGUAACUUCGGGAGAAGGCACGCUGAUAUGUAGGUGAAGUCCCUCGCGGAUGGAGCUGAAAUCAGUCGAAGAUACCAGCUGGCUGCAACUGUUUAUUAAAAACACAGCACUGUGCAAACACGAAAGUGGACGUAUACGGUGUGACGCCUGCCCGGUGCCGGAAGGUUAAUUGAUGGGGUCAGCGCAAGCGAAGCUCUUGAUCGAAGCCCCGGUAAACGGCGGCCGUAACUAUAACGGUCCUAAGGUAGCGAAAUUCCUUGUCGGGUAAGUUCCGACCUGCACGAAUGGCGUAAUGAUGGCCAGGCUGUCUCCACCCGAGACUCAGUGAAAUUGAACUCGCUGUGAAGAUGCAGUGUACCCGCGGCAAGACGGAAAGACCCCGUGAACCUUUACUAUAGCUUGACACUGAACAUUGAGCCUUGAUGUGUAGGAUAGGUGGGAGGCUUGGAAGUGUGGACGCCAGUCUGCAUGGAGCCGACCUUGAAAUACCACCCUUUAAUGUUUGAUGUUCUAACGUUGACCCGUAAUCCGGGUUGCGGACAGUGUCUGGUGGGUAGUUUGACUGGGGCGGUCUCCUCCUAAAGAGUAACGGAGGAGCACGAAGGUUGGCUAAUCCUGGUCGGACAUCAGGAGGUUAGUGCAAUGGCAUAAGCCAGCUUGACUGCGAGCGUGACGGCGCGAGCAGGUGCGAAAGCAGGUCAUAGUGAUCCGGUGGUUCUGAAUGGAAGGGCCAUCGCUCAACGGAUAAAAGGUACUCCGGGGAUAACAGGCUGAUACCGCCCAAGAGUUCAUAUCGACGGCGGUGUUUGGCACCUCGAUGUCGGCUCAUCACAUCCUGGGGCUGAAGUAGGUCCCAAGGGUAUGGCUGUUCGCCAUUUAAAGUGGUACGCGAGCUGGGUUUAGAACGUCGUGAGACAGUUCGGUCCCUAUCUGCCGUGGGCGCUGGAGAACUGAGGGGGGCUGCUCCUAGUACGAGAGGACCGGAGUGGACGCAUCACUGGUGUUCGGGUUGUCAUGCCAAUGGCACUGCCCGGUAGCUAAAUGCGGAAGAGAUAAGUGCUGAAAGCAUCUAAGCACGAAACUUGCCCCGAGAUGAGUUCUCCCUGACUCCUUGAGAGUCCUGAAGGAACGUUGAAGACGACGACGUUGAUAGGCCGGGUGUGUAAGCGCAGCGAUGCGUUGAGCUAACCGGUACUAAUGAACCGUGAGGCUUAACCUUACAACGCCGAAG
rnacentral:rRNA from 1 species